AUUGAACGCUGGCGGCAUGCCUUACACAUGCCAGUCGAACGGCAGCAUGAUCUAGCUUGCUAGAUUGAUGGCGAGUGGCGAACGGGUGAGUAAUACAUCGGAACGUGCCCUGUAGUGGGGGAUAACUAGUCGAAAGAUUAGCUAAUACCGCAUACGACCUGAGGGUGAAAGUGGGGGACCGCAAGGCCUCAUGCUAUAGGAGCGGCCGAUGUCUGAUUAGCUAGUUGGUGAGGUAAAGGCUCACCAAGGCGACGAUCAGUAGCUGGUCUGAGAGGACGAUCAGCCACACUGGGGCAGAGAGAGGGACGGGGAUCCUACGGGAGGCAGCAGUGCGGAGUGUUGGAGAAUGGGCGAAAGGUUGAUCAGGCCAUGCCGCGUGAAUGAAGAAGGCCUUCGGGUUGUAAAGCGCUGUUGGCCGGAAAGAAAUGGCUCUGGUUAAUACCUGGGGUCGAUGACGGGACCGGAAGAAUAAGGACCGGCUAACUACG
rnacentral:rRNA from 1 species